AUUGAACGCUGGCGGCAGGCCUAACACAUGCAAGUCGAGCGAGCGGCGGACGGGUGAGUAAUGUAUGGGGACUGCCCGAUAGAGGGGGAUAACUACUGGAAACGGUAGUUAAUACCGCAUACUAUCGGACAACCCAUAAGGGACUAGCUAGUAGGUUAGGCAAUGGCCCACCUAGGCGACGAUCCCUAGCUGGGCUGAGAGGAUGAUCAGCCACACUGGGACUGAGACACGGCCCAUACCCCUACGGAGGCAGUAGGGGGGAAUAUUGCACAAUGGGGGAAACCCUGAUCCAGCCAUCCCGCGUGUAUGAUGAAGGCCUGCGGGUUGUAAAGUACUUUUGGCAGAGAAGCGGUAUCUGCAGAAUAAGCACCGGCUAACUACGUGCCAGCCGCCGCGGUAAUUC
rnacentral:rRNA from 1 species